GAAGUCACAGUCUCUGUGCCACAUGUUAGAUGUCACAAUUGGUGGCCCAGUUAUGCUCCCAGUGAUGCCCAAGGGACCACUUCAGUUCAAGUGAAACCACAGGCCUGCCCGGUCAGGGAUUAAAAUUACCAUGCCAGGCUUCCCACCCUUUCCUCUGUGAUGAGGACUUCUCAGCUCCAGCGACGCGGGGAAUCACACAUCUGACCUUCCACAAACCACUCAUCGUUACUGCACACACCACCUCCCCUACCCUGCAAGGAAACCACAAUGAUUGUGGUUUUCUGGAUGGUUCUUAUUGCAGGAACGAUAUGGAAGGGGUAUAAGUAUCCCCCAGGAGGGACCCAGCUGGAACUAGGCAAAGAUCCUGGUGAACCAAUGCAACUAUGAAGCUAAACCUGGCCAGCUGUACGGUUCCUGUUGUUGGUUUCACAUAAAGCAAUUGCAAGUGA